UACGUAGGGUGCGAGCGUUGUCCGGAAUUACUGGGCGUAAAGAGCUCGUAGGUGGUUUGUCGCGUUGGUCGUGAAAUUCCCUGGCUUAACUGGGGGAGUGCGGGCGAUACGGGCAGACUGGAGUACUGCAGGGGAGACUGGAAUUCCUGGUGUAGCGGUGGAAUGCGCAGAUAUCAGGAGGAACACCGGUGGCGAAGGCGGGUCUCUGGGCCGAUACUGACGCUGAGGAGCGAAAGCGUGGGGAGCAAACAGG
rnacentral:rRNA from 1 species